UUUAAAGUGAUUCUUUGCAGCAAAUUAAUUUACCGGGUUAAUUUUAGGUAAACUGGAAGUAGAACAUAGUUUUUCUUAUUUUACCACUUAUGUCGUGGAACUUAAAAGGCUAAGCCCAAAUCAAAGCUACAAGCAGCAUUUUGUAGCUUUGUCAUGCUUUGUCAUGCUGCCACAGACACACCCUUUAAUGAAACUCAAGAUCUUCACUAUUUAACAUAGCAAAGCAGUAAGAUCAGUUCAUACAGAUGUGUCCAGCAGGCCGCGGUUACAUUCCUCCUGUGGAUCCUUUGAUUCCUACAACCAGCUUAGCAGAAAUAUUCAAAGACGCAGAUGAAUGCAAACUUUUU